CUGGCAGAGGCAUCAUAAAAGCUGUUGGCGGGGAGGUCAACUUUUUGCCACCAACUCCUGCGAUGUCGACUGAAGAAUCGUUAAAACGUGACUAUACAUUGUUGAUGACUGAGCUAAGCACAGAGCACGCAGACGAGGAACAGGUGUCGCGAUUGAUGUUACAACUGUUUUCAACACGGAGAGAAGACAUAGUUGUCAAAAAUCUUCCCUUGGAAUCAGUUAUGGACAAGUGGCCUGCACUGUUUAGACAAGAGCAGUUGUUUGAGGAAAUGAAAAGGAUUGUUUUGGUCCACCCGUUGAUGACCUUUACAGAGAGAUUGGCAAAAAUGUUCGAAGGGCUCAAGUACAAAAUUAACCAUCCAAAAGGCAGCUUCAAAAAACCCAAAAGAAAGAGGGCUAGAACAGCAACCUUUGCAACUGUGUCGAUCAAAUCAGUACAGGACCUCCUCAGCUCGAUUCACAAAAUGUAUCCAAAAGAGUUGCCGCUAAUAUGUGAUGCGGAACAGGCUCUUCAGCUGUACGAGGAAGCAAAACAAAAUAAUGACGUUGCUAAAAACAAGGCAUUUUUAGCGCCUCACAUCGUGCAAGAGAAAACUGGAACUUUUAAUAUUCGCUGCGAGGAGAGGACCAUUUGCGCUGCAAUAGACACAGAUACAAAAGCAGUUGCUUUACUGAUUUCUGUGUACUACGCAAUGAACUACUCGUACCCACCUCUACGAAGCCGAACCCUUGAACUUAUGGCUUACUUGUGUGGUGUAGACAACGCAGAUCUGAGUGUCAAGACAAAAGAAGUGAUCGAUUUCUGCCUUGAGCACAAUGAUGAAAAUGAAUGAUCAAUUUGCU